rnacentral:tRNA from 1 species
UCCCUGAUGGGUCAGCAGUUAAGACUCUGCACUUCCAUUGCAGGGGGCAUGGGUUCCAUUCCUGGUUGGGGAA